CAGUCGCCACGGGAAUACAGAGGGUGCAAGCGUUAAUCGGAAUUACUGGGCGUAAAGCGCGCGUAGGUGGUUUGUUAAGUUGGAUGUGAAAUCCCCGGGCUCAACCUGGGAACUGCAUCCAAAACUGGCAAGCUAGAGUAUGGUAGAGGGUGGUGGAAUUUCCUGUGUAGCGGUGAAAUGCGUAGAUAUAGGAAGGAACACCAGUGGCGAAGGCGACCACCUGGACUGAUACUGACACUGAGGUGCGAAAGCGUGGGGAGCAAACAGGAUUAGAUACCCCGGUAGUCCCUGUCUCUUAUAC
rnacentral:rRNA from 1 species